rnacentral:rRNA from 1 species
GAUGAACGCUGGCGGCGUGCCUAACACAUGCAAGUCGAACGGAGUCCAGCCUUUAAGACCUUCGGGUCAAAGAGGGGAAGACUGAGUGGCGGACGGGUGAGUAACACGUGGGCAACCUGGCUCAUAGAGGGGGAUAACAGAGAGAAAUUUCUGCUAAUACCGCAUAAGCACACACUGCCGCAUGGCAGAGGGUGAAAAGAGAAUCGCUAUGAGAUGGACCCGCGUCUGAUUAGCCAGUUGGCAGGGUAAGAGCCUACCAAAGCGACGAUCAGUAGCCGAUCUGAGAGGAUGAACGGCCACAUUGGGACUGAGACGCGGCCCAAACUCCUACGGGAGGCAGCAGUGGGGGAUAUUGCACAAUGGGGGGAACCCUGAUGCAGCGACGCCGCGUGAGUGAAGAAGUAUUUCGGUAUGUAAAGCUCUAUCAGCAGGGAAGAUAAUGACAGUACCUGAAUAAGAAGCCCCGGCUAACUACGUG